rnacentral:rRNA from 1 species
AUUGAACGCUGGCGGAAUGCUUUACACAUGCAAGUCGAACGGCAGCACGGGGGCAACCCUGGUGGCGAGUGGCGAACGGGUGAGUAAUACAUCGGAACGUGCCCAAUCGUGGGGGAUAACGUAGCGAAAGCUACGCUAAUACCGCAUACGAUCUACGGAUGAAAGCGGGGGAUCGCAAGACCUCGCGCGAAUGGAGCGGCCGAUGGCAGAUUAGGUAGUUGGUGGGGUAAAGGCUCACCAAGCCGACGAUCUGUAGCUGGUCUGAGAGGACGACCAGCCACACUGGGACUGAGACACGGCCCAGACUCCUACGGGAGGCAGCAGUGGGAAUUUUGGACAAUGGGCGCAAGCCUGAUCCAGCCAUUCCGCGUGCAGGAUGAAGGCCU